GAGCUAGUAAAGAUCGCCUUUGAUGUGAUAGCUCCUGGGAAACCUGCUUCAUGGUUGGCCGAGAUUGCGGAUUGGUUUGCAAGCAUGAAAAUGCAAGCUUCACAAUAAACCCCAGUUUCUCUGCAAUUUGACCUCUAGGAGCUGAAAGGCGUUGAUCCAAAAUGUCCCUCAGCGGUGUAUCAAGCACAGUAUUUGAUGUCGAUAAUGAGGACGAGAGAACUGAGUUCAUGAGGUCCCCAGGAAGCUUUCCCAUGAUCACUUCUAGAGUUAACACUCCAAAACUAUAGACAUCACAUUUCUCAUUCACUUCCAUUGUGUAUGCAAACUCUGCAAGUGUAUCCAAAUGUGCCUGCAAAUGAAGUCCAAUUGGAAGAGUUGGGCAUCAAAAUUCUAGCUGUGCCAAAAUCAGAUAUGUAAGCGUUGUAUUCUAAAUCCAGCAAGAUGUUCUUGCUUGAUAUGUCUCGAUGAACAAUUGGAGGCGAGCAAUCAUGGUGCAUAUAGGAUAAAGCAUCUGCCACACUCUUGACAAGGUUUACCCUUGCAAUCCAUUCAAACAUAACUAUUUCUCUGCCAUUGUGUAGUAACUUUUCUAAGCUAGCUUCCCCCUUCCAGAAACUGGUAAACCAAGAAUGAGUGGCGUGGAUGUGUGCAAAAACCAUAGAGUUUCACAAUGUUUCUGAUGACGAGUUUCUGAGAGUGCAUGGAUCUCACUCUCGAACGCCUUGAGAUUUGCUACCCCACGACCAUCUUGUACUGUGUGAAUUUUCUUCACUGCAAC
rnacentral:lncRNA from 1 species